rnacentral:rRNA from 1 species
ACACGUAGGGGCCUGACGUUGUUCGGAAUCAUUGGGCGUAAAGGGCGCGCAGGCGGCCGUCCAAGUCCGGUGUUAAAUGGUCGGGCUCAACCCGAUCAUGCGCUGGAAACUGGGCGGCUGGAGUCCCGGAGGGGAUGCCGGAAUUCCAGGUGUAGGGGUGAAAUCUGUAGAUAUCUGGAAGAACACCGAUGGCGAAGGCAGGCAUCUGGCCGGAGACUGACGCUGAGGCGCGAAGGCGCGGGGAGCGAACAGGUUAGAUACCCUGGUAGUCCGCGCAGUAAACGAUGCGCACCAGGUGUCGGGCGGCAGCGCCCGGUACCGGAGCAAACGCGGUGAGUGCGCCGCCUGGGGAGUAUGCCCGCAAGGGUGAAACUCAAAGGAAUUGGCGGGG